UGCCUUGGCUCAAGCAAUCCUCCCACCAUU
rnacentral:piRNA from 1 species